rnacentral:lncRNA from 1 species
AAUUUCUGAUUUUAUCAUCAGUUCUUGGUUUGAUUCCUUUCUUUCAUGAAAUGUAUCUACAGUAGUUUGUUUAAGACAAGUAUCAUCUAGCUCUAAAUCCCUUUCUGAUGAUUUAAGGUACAAAAGAUCAAGAACAGGAUUUAAGCUCUCCUUGCUUGCUGGCUUUUGGGUAAAUGUAUACUUCGAUUUACCUCUGGUUCUUCCUACCUUUUUUUUAUACACCGACAUUAUUCUUGCAGAUAUUCUUUUCUUCUUUCUGAAUUUUCCAGAGACCCAGAUAAGCCCAAGAACACUGACAAAAAAGGCAGCUCCUGCUGACACAAGCACUCCUGCUAAAAUUCUUCUAAAUCUGCUUUUUUCUCUGUGCGUUUUUAGAAUUUUGGGCGCAGGAAGGAUUGAAUUUGAGUGAUGAAAAGGGGAAUGAGAAUGUGCUUGGAUAGGCAACACUGAAGCAGUAGCAGGGGCAGGAGCUGGAGCCUCAGCUUCUAUGGAGGUUGAAGGAGAUGAUGCUGGUGACUGAAACUCACUUGGUGGGUUUCCUGUUUUGGAGCCUGUCAACCCUAGUAAGGCUCUGAAUUUUUGCACUAUCAAGCUCGCAUAUUCUUCAUUCUCGUCCUCUCCUGAAACUUUCUCAAUCUGCUUCUCAUUACCAUCUUCACCACUUUCCUCCAUGAAUUCAAGCUCUUGUGGGCUCUGAAGUUUAAAGCACUCUGCUGCAUCAAAUGCGGACGCAUCAGCAAUCAAAAUGUGGGUUCUUUGCAAUGACAAAAAGAUGAAAAUGGAUACAGUAAGGACGAGCAUCAUGUGGCGAAUCUGAGAAGAAUAAGAGCCCAUGUUCUUCAACCACAAAUCAUCAGAGCAUCAAUAUCUAACUUUCCGCAUAGAAAUAGAGUCUCAUUUCUGCUGCAUUCUUUUUCAGAAAAGAAAAUAAUAAUAAGACAACAUUUAUUAUUGGACGGUGCAGGUACUGUGCAAGGAACAACAUGUAUUUCAAUGUUUAAUGUACUCCAAGGAAUCACUGAGCAUGGCAGUUGGAGUUGUACUGGGCCUUCUUUAAUCUUUU